UAGGGAAUCUUCUGCAAUGGACGAAAGUCUGACCGAGCAACGCCGCGUGAGUGAAGAAGGUUUUCGGAUCGUAAAACUCUGUUGUUAGAGAAGAACAAGGACGUUAGUAACUGAACGUCCCCUGACGGUAUCUAACCAGAAAGCCACGGCUAACUACGUGCCAGCAGCCGCGGUAAUACGUAGGUGGCAAGCGUUGUCCGGAUUUAUUGGGCGUAAAGCGAGCGCAGGCGGUUUCUUAAGUCUGAUGUGAAAGCCCCCGGCUCAACCGGGGAGGGUCAUUGGAAACUGGGAGACUAGAGUGCAGAAGAGGAGAGUGGAAUUCCAUGUGUAGCGGUGAAAUGCGUAGAUAUAUGGAGGAACACCAGGGGCGAAGGCGGCUCUCUGGUCUGUAACUGACGCUGAGGCUCGAAAGCGUGGGGAGCAAACAGG
rnacentral:rRNA from 1 species